rnacentral:rRNA from 1 species
UACGUAGGGUGCGAGCGUUAAUCGGAAUUACUGGGCGUAAAGCGUGCGCAGGCGGUUCGUGAUGUCUGGUGUGAAAUCCCCGGGCUCAACCUGGGAACUGCAUUUGUGACUGCAUAGCUGGAGUGCGGCAGAGGGGGAUGGAAUUCCGCGUGUAGCAGUGAAAUGCGUAGAUAUGCGGAGGAACACCGAUGGCGAAGGCAAUCCCCUGGGCCUGCACUGACGCUCAUGCACGAAAGCGUGGGGAGCAAACAGG